UGGCGAUGAUGUAUGAGUUUCUUCACCUGGAGUCACCGUGAAGAGUAAAAUCGAGCUUUUUAACCGAGUCAU